GACGAACGCUGGCGGCGUGCUUAACACAUGCAAGUCGAACGGAAAGGCCCUGCUUUUGUGGGGUGCUCGAGUGGCGAACGGGUGAGUAACACGUGAGUAACCUGCCCUUGACUUUGGGAUAACUUCAGGAAACUGGGGCUAAUACCGGAUAGGAGCUCCUGCUGCAUGGUGGGGGUUGGAAAGUUUCGGCGGUUGGGGAUGGACUCGCGGCUUAUCAGCUUGUUGGUGGGGUAGUGGCUUACCAAGGCUUUGACGGGUAGCCGGCCUGAGAGGGUGACCGGCCACCUUGCGACUGCGAUACGAACCAGACUCCUACGGGAGGCAGCAGUGGGGAAUAUUGCAGAAUGGGCGGACGCCUGAUGCAGCAACGCCGCGUGCGGGAUGACGGCCUUCGGGUUGUAAACCGCUUUCGCCUGUGACGAAGCGUGAGUGACGGUAAUGGGUCAAGAAGCACCGGCUAACUACGUG
rnacentral:rRNA from 1 species